rnacentral:rRNA from 1 species
GACGAACGCUGGCGGCGUGCUUAACACAUGCAAGUGGAGCGACGAACCAGGCUUCGGCCUGGGGCAGAGCCGCGAACGGGUGAGUAACACGUGGGUAACCUGCCUCGAUGACUGGGACAACCCGGGGAAACCCGGGCUAAUACCGGAUGUGCUCGUCACGCAUAAGCGAGACGUGAAAAGGAAGCUUCGGCCUCCGCAUCGAGAUGGGCCCGCGGCCCAUUAGCUUGUUGGUGAGGUAACGGCUCACCAAGGCUGCGAUGGGUAGCUGGUCUGAGAGGACGAUCAGCCACACUGGGACUGAGACACGGCCCAGACUCCUACGGGAGGCAGCAGUGGGGAAUCUUGCGCAAUGCGCGAAAGCGUGACGCAGCAACGCCGCGUGGGGGAAGAAGGCCUUCGGGUUGUAAACCCCUUUCAGGAGGGACGAAGCCCGGGCGGUUAAUAGCCGACUCGGGUGACGGUACCUCCAGAAGAAGCCCCGGCUAACUACGUGCCAGCCGCCGCCGUAAAAC